rnacentral:lncRNA from 1 species
CAAAUUCUUAUACCCAAAUCCCAAACACUUAAACCCAAAUCGUAAAUCCUUAUACACAAAUUCCAAAUCAUUCUUCUCAAUCUUCUCCCGAAAAAAUCAUUCUUCUCAAUCUUCAAUAAAUUCCAGCCCCUGAUUCUUAUUUCUUCUCAAUCUUCUCGCACGCAACCCCCCUUGCUGAUUCUCAAUCUUCACAAUCUUCUCAAUCUUAUUUCACAUUCUUCUUAAACCCUGAUUCUUACGCGCAAACUGUCGUUGGGUUUCCAGAAUCAUUCCAGAGGUUCCGAGGUUCUAGGGUUUCUAGAGGUUCCAGAGGUUUCCAGAAUCGUUCUGUACUUGGGUUUCUUUUCUAGAGGUUAAUUCUGUUUUUCUUCUUCUUCUUAUUGUGUUGUAUUCAAUUAAAUAAAUCUCCUAAUCAUUUAUACUGAAAUCCAGACUUUGUGAGUUAAUUGUAGACUUAAAUAGUUCUGAAAUCCAGGGGAAGUGCUAGUGAAGAGGAAGUAUGGAUUUCAGAUCCGUGGAAGAACUUUGUGAGUUCAAUCUCUGUUCUGAAAUUUAGACUUUGUGAGUUCAAUUUUAGACUUCCCUUUAGAAUGAAACCAAUUCAGUGGUAGGUAAAUAGUCUAUCUUUUUUCAAUCAGCUAUUCAUGGUGGUUGGUGUUAUUAAUCAAUCAAUUUUUUUUGGUGUUAUUUAGAAUCGUUUCACAGUGGCAUCUAUUUUUCUUCUUAAUUCUUCUUUUUAUUGUGUUGUAUUCAAUUAAAGCAAUCUCCUGAUCAUUCAUUUUGGUUAGUUCUCAAGACUAUGGUCUGUUUAAAAACGAUUAUAUUGGACCUUGGUUGAAAGCAUCAAAGGAAAAGAAAAAUGGUCGCAUUAUGAGAUUUAGAGUUGACAAUGACUCUAUGCUAUCAAAUAAGAUGAGAAAAAAAAUGAACAAUGAGGAAACUGAGAAGUACAACACUGAAGAAUUUGAAUUGACAGUUUCCAAAGCCGUUGAAAAACGAAUGAAAACGUUCGAAAUAGAACACGAAAAACGUUUUAAAAUGAUGGAACAACGGUUAUUUGACAAUAUACAUGUGAGUUUAAUAAAUAUUUUUAAAUUAGUUUUUAAAUUUAUUAAUUUUUGAAUAUCUUCAUUUAUUUUCAGGCUAAUGCUACAAGCAACGACCCCAAUCGUCCAUCAUCGAGUAAUGUUCCUGUUGUUCCUGCUUCUUCUCAGUUGAAUCAACUUAUUCCAUCAUCGAGAAAUUAUUGGGAAGAAGAUACUACUUUGAAUUUGACACCUCA